AGCAGCCGCGGUAAUUCCAGCUCCAAUAGCGUAUAUUAAAGUUGUUGCAGUUAAAAAAGCUCGUAGUUGAAUUUCGGGAUCAAAGAAUCGGUCAUGCCUUAGUAUGUACUGGUUUUAUUGGUUCUCACCUUCUAAAGAACCAUGAUGUCAUUCAUUUGAUGUUAUGGGGAAUUAGGACUGUUACCUUGAAAAAAUUGAGUGUUUAAAGCAAGCUUACGCUUGAAUACAUUAGCAUGG
rnacentral:rRNA from 1 species